rnacentral:lncRNA from 1 species
UUACUAUCCUGCAGUAGAAGGCUCAGGAGUCUCGGCCCAGCAAUGUCACAGGCUAGCUGUGUGACCUUGAGCAGAUUUUUCCAGUUUACACAGACAAAGCCAGACCCCUGGAAACUGCAGGUGGACACAUGUCACAGCCUCCAGAGCCCAUUAACAGCCAGGCAGCUCUGCUCUGAUGCUUCCUAACAAGGAGAGAGUCCCCGUGGCAGAUCUCCGAGGAGGAACAACAGAGAAGCUACCUGUCACAGCUCCGUGGGGCGUGGGGCGUGGGGCCUCCCUGCCAGGAGGACGUUCCCCUGCAGGAACUGUGUCGGAAGCCUCUGGGGUGAGGACGCGGCCCCUUCUGGCGUCCAUCCUGGCGAGGGCAGCAGAGGUGGCGGCGUGCAGGGGCAGCCGUGGGCAUGAGCCGGUAUCCGGUGGAGCACGGUUUCCAGGGAGCAGAGCGAGUCUCAGGCGGGGGCUGCUCCUGACUGUGCAGCGGGUUCUCUGGGCCUCCCAGACGGUGCAGCACUUGACACCCUGGAACAACUUCUGUGUCUGCGUCAACCGGCAAGAGCAGGUUCCAUUGCUGCGAGACAGGGAGUGUGGCCUCUGUUACCGGAAGAUAGUCCCAAAGAAAGGCUGCUGCAGCACACAAGACAGGAACAUGGAGACAGAUAAAACAAAGCCCUCGGCCUGGGGAGUGAGAGAGACUCCAGGGUGAACCAUCAGAAAGUGCAGAACGCUGACUCAAGGACCCGCCAAGAGGACAGAGCCCCGCAGCUGCCUGAUGGAACCGGGAAAGACACACCAAUUAAAUCCGUGCGAAUAAUCGGCUCAGACCAAAAUAACCACUCCAGGCACACGCAAAGUAGUAGUGUCCGCCGUCCAGGUGCUGGACGUGCCCAUCGGGGCGGCUCUGCGGCAGUUGUAAAGGUCGGCCUCAGGCUCCCCUAGAAAAGCAAAGAACUGGAAUGGCAAGAGUUUCAUGUUAAGAAAUAUUUUAAGCCUGAAUGGCUUCCCAGUCACAAGUAGCCCGACAGAGCACUUUGUGCAUCCGAGGGAGCUGACAAAUGCCACUUUGGGGCCAGGGUGCAGGGAGGCAAAGUCGCACAGACAACAAAGUCCAAGCCCUCACGCAUGGAUGUGUGCGUGCGGCUCGGAGAAGACAGACGCACGGCCACUGUGUGUCCCCCAGCACGGGCCG